AUGAGUGACAUUGUUUCCGACUGUGUAUAUAUGGAGACGCGUAGAACUGCUCGUGUAGAUCGGUAACUGCUUAUAGAUUUGCUGGUAUGUGUGAAAAUUGUCACCAGCUGGAACAAAGCCGCUCUUAGUAUCUGAAAUGAGCUACUGCUUUGGCGCUGCUGUGCAGUCAUUCGCGCGGCAUGGAGUCCAUCUCUCGUCUAUUUUGCUGAUCGCAUCGAAACCGAUCAUGUCAAUUAUUCGCGUUUGUGCGCUGUCCGGAAAGGUCGUGCCAAAACUUAACCAAACGAAAUCUAUGCGAAAUAAGCGCGAGCACAGUUCGAACAGCUGAGACCUUCAGCUUAAAUAACGUGGCCUCCAUAAACAUUGCUAAUAUACGGUGAUUAAUACUAUAAGUAGUAACAUACACACAAAUACACGCUAUGAAGUUCAACUUUAUGAAAAGCAAUUCCACAGAAAGUGAGACUAAGUCCUCACCCACCUCGGAAACAUCUGCAACAGAACCGCUGGCACCGCAAUAUUUGCGUCAAAUCACAAUUGAAAAUGAUCCAGAUUCACUUGAUAGUGUCAUCAAUAAUCCACAAUCAUAUCCCAUCACAAUAGUUCCGAACAGGCCGAAUACAUUCUAUGGAUUCUCACCCAGCGGAAAAGUAUAUAAUCGGCAGUCAAG